rnacentral:rRNA from 1 species
GACAGAGGGUGCAAGCGUUAAUCGGAAUUACUGGGCGUAAAGGGCUUGUAGGCGGCUAUCCAAGUCGGAUGUAAAAUCCCCGGGCUUAACCUGGGUGUGUCAUUCGAGACUGAAUAGCUAGAGUAAGGUAGAGGAGAGUGGAAUUUCCGGUGUAGCGGUGAAAUGCGUAGAUAUCGGAAGGAAUAUCAGUGGCGAAGGCGGCUCUCUGGACCUUAACUGACGCUGAGGAGCGAGAGCGUGGGUAGCAAACAGG